AAGUUUUUAAGCAUGGUAUCUAGACAAGGCAAUUCACAUGACAAUGAAGACACAAAACUUUCUCACUCAAGACAUCAGGUUUGAUUUGGUUUGGUUUGAUUUUUAACUCAAGUUUGAUGGUGUGUCCAACAUCAUGUUAGGCCUUGUGAGAGACAGAAGCUGGGAAGAAACACCCCCCACCCCCCGACACACACACGGACACACACGGUCCCUGCCCUCAGGGACUUCCAGUCUAGUAAGUGGGAACAGCUACAGUCCAAUCCAGGUGAGCGAAAAAUGGAGCUUAAAACAGAGUAAAGACGGAGGGUACGAUUUUAUGAAGGCUCUGAGUUGGUGGCUGACUCUGGAGUCACCAUAGACACGACAAUGCGUGGAGGCCGACUUGGCGUUUUCUGCUUCUCUCAAGAAAACAUCAUCUGGUCCAACCUCAAGUAUCGCUGCAAUGACACCAUCCCUGAGGACUUCCAAGAGUUUCAAACCCAGAAUUUCGACCGCUUCGAUAAUUAAACCACGGAAGCAAUCCGUAACUGCUUUUCGGAACACUAAAACCAUAU
rnacentral:sRNA from 1 species